UACAGAGGUGCCGAGCGUUAGGCGGAAUCACUGGGCUUAAAGCGUGUGUAGGCGGACUUCUAAGUACCUUGUGAAAUCCCACGGCUCACCCGUGGAACUGCUGGGUAUACUGGUCGUCUUGAGCCACCUAGGGGCCAGCGGAACAAAUGGUGGAGCGGUGAAAUGCGUAGAUAUCAUUUGGAACGCCAACGGUGAAAACAGCUGGCUGGGGGUGUGCUGACGCUGAGACACGAAAGCCAGGGGAGCGAACGGGAUUAGAUACCCCGGUAGUCCUGGCCGUAAACGAUGUCGACUAGAUCGCAGGUCCUCUGACGGACUUGCGGUCGAAGCAAAAGUGCUAAGUCGACCGCCUGGGAAGUACGGUCGCAAGGCUAAA
rnacentral:rRNA from 1 species